rnacentral:sRNA from 1 species
UCUUUGGUGUUCUUUUUCUCACCAAGACUUAUUCUUUUUAGAGAGUAAACAAAGGAGAACUCGCAUACUGGAUCGACACCCUCAGCAUUUUUCCAACCUUUGUAAUUGAUCAUUCCAAAUCAUAUAUAUAAUAGCAGAGUUUUCUCUCCUCUAAAAGUGUCCACGUCACUACAUCUUUUUAAUGUGGAGCCCACAUGUUUUUACUCUGCCUUCACAUUUUUUUCUAUGCGUGAAAUAGAUUUAGUGAUGUUUAUGGGGCCACGAUUUGGUCAAAAAGCCCAUGAGCCAAAGAACCAAAUAGACUUAGUGAUGUGUAUCGGGCCAAGAUUUAGUCAAAAAACCUAUGAACCGAAAGGACCUAAGAAAACCCAGUUAAAAUUGCAAACCCUCGAUUUCAUUUUCUCCAAUUCGAUCGACGCAAUUCAGAGGACCACGAAAGAGAAAAAGAGUGUUUCAGUCACUGCCCCAUGGAGCUUUCCGUAUUUUUCUUCCCCAGAAGCUCAAACAUCAACAGUUAUUCACUAAAAGGUACUUAAAUACAUGGCUUAAUUCCUACAAAAUUCCACUACUUGCAAUUUAAUUCAUACUUUUAAUAUCUCAAAUCGAAACUGUAACUGGAGAAAAGCAUGUAGCUUUUGAUGCUUUACGUCUUGGUCGCUCUACUCAACAGGUUGUUGGUCGCCUACUUCGUUUUUGGGAUGCUCGCAACAUCAAGAAAGAUGGCCAAUUCAUGGGCAUAGUCCUCCUGUUACUUGAUGAAAAAGUAAAUCAUCUUAGAUGUUUAAUGUUUUUUUGUUUCAUAUGUAAUUGAUGGCCAACUAACACUUAAUUUGUUUCAUUAAUAGUGCUCCGAAAUCCAUGCUUUUAUCCCAGCAGCUCUUGCUUCACAUUUCCGCCAAGUUUUGCGUGAAGGCAUAAUCUUCAAUGUUAGUGGGUUUGAAGUGGGACGUUGCACGAAACUCUACAAGAUCACUGACCAUCCUUUUCUCCUCCGUUUUCUCCCUGCCACAACGAUUAUUGAAGUUUCAGAUGUUGGCCCUACAAUUGAGAGGGAAAAGUU